rnacentral:tRNA from 1 species
GCACUGGUGGUUCAGUGGUAGAACACUUGCCUUCCAUACGGGAACCCCAGUUCGAUUCCUGGCCAAUGUA